CAACGUGGCUCAUUUUAGAUAGCCCAUGAAUGAUGGUGUAUCUCUCCCUAAACCAAAUUAGCAAGGCUGUAUGUUAGGUGAAGCAUAUAAGUUCCAAAUGUAUAUGUUGUUUUGCUGCUUUGUUGCAAAUGGUAAAAGUUGUGUGACGUAACAAGAUCGGCCUAUAAUUGCGUGUCUGAUGGGGGUUUCAGAGAUGCUGUAAUGAGAUCGCUUUUUGUUUCCGAGUUUUGAACCGUUCUUAUAUGCAUAUCAGAUAUUGAGAAGAUUUUUCGCUAUGUCAGGGUUUUCGUACGGUGGCGUGUGGUAUUCGAACGUUUGUGGCGACUGAUGAUUUUUGUGAGACCCUUUCCUCUUGUUUAUCACGGGGUGAAACCCUUGAGUCUGAAAGCUAUAGCUGAAAUGGUCUAAGAAGAUCCCUGACAGCUCACAGCGCUCUUGCCAGCAUUCAGCGCGAAGUGAUAAUUGCUGCAGGCAAAAACGGGUAGCGUUCUACACAGCUGUGGCAAAAUCGCGGCAUGUGAUUCGUUGAGCCUAUGCAGCAUGCAGUGGCCAGAAAUGAUGUUAAGACCAUUCUCUUGUCAAAUAAGGGAAGUGGUGCUGGACAACCUAAAAGAAGCUAGAAACGUCAAGAAUUUCUGGUUUCACAAGAUUUGCUCCGAGUCUCCAAACAGAAAUUUGCAGAUCAUCAGUAGCAUAUGACAUUUCCCAUAUCUUAUUUGGUUGGAAAAGGUUUUGCUGCGUCAUCACAUUAAUCAGACUAGUCUGCAAUGAUUUGUAACACAGUAAUAGAUUGUAAGUGUGAUACAGAAUAUUUAUUUUAAAGCAUAUAUCUGUUGAGAGCAGAGCCAUUUGUACCAUCUUUUCAUACAUUGAUAUUUCACAAGUAUUUAUUAACUUUGUUUUGCCAUUAGUGUGUAGCAUUUACCAAAGCUUUCA